GGGGAGGGGUGUAAGGUGAGGGGUCAUCCCCAAGCCUCCUAAAACCCCCAGCAAGCCCCAGACACACAGGGGGCCAAGGGGGGAGAAGGACUGGAAGCAACAGCUGGGAUGAAGGGAUCCCAGGAGUUAGUAAGGGGCAAUUUGGGGGGACCUGGAGCAAGGGGGACAUUAACUGGAAACAGAUCGAGGGUGACAGAGGUGACAGAGCAGCAGGUGACGUGGCCAGGUGGAGCUGUGUGGGGGAGAGGACACAGGAUGACAUGGAGUGACACUGGGGAAAGUGGGGAGUGACACUGGGUGACACGGUGAUGCCAUAAGAUACAUGGCAGGGGUCAUGGUGGGUGACAGGAACUGGUGAAGAGCUGGCAAAGGGUGACGGAGGAGGGUGGGGGGGUGACACAGGGUGACAGGGAGGUCUGGGGGGGUGACACAGGGUGAUGGGGGUGACACCAGGUGACACUGGUUCCACGGGCAGGUUUCUCUUGCUGGUGAUUUUGAAGGUGGGGGGUCACAGGGGAAUGGGUGGCAGGGGCUGUGCUGGGAGGGCGACAGGGAUGACGCAGGGUGUGGGGCAGGGAUGACACAGGGGCAGUUUCGGGAGUCCCAGGGUGUGGGGCAGGGAUGCUGGGGGGCAGUUGCAGGGUGUGGGGCAGGGAUGCCAGGGGGGCAGUUUCGGGGGUCGCAGGGUGUGGGGCAGGGAUGCUGGGGGGCAGUUGCAGGGUUGCUGGGGCAGUUGCAGGGUGUGAGGCAGGGAUGACACGGGGGCAGGAUGCUGGGGGGCACUGGCAGGGUGUGGG